CCAGACUCCUACGGGAGGCAGCAGUGGGGAAUAUUGCACAAUGGGGGAAACCCUGAUGCAGCGACGCCGCGUGAAGGACGAAGUAUUUCGGUACGUAAACUUCUAUCAGCAGGGAAGAAAAUGACGGUACCUGACCAAGAAGCCCCGGCUAACUACGUGCCAGCAGCCGCGGUAAUACGUAGGGGGCAAGCGUUAUCCGGAUUUACUGGGUGUAAAGGGAGCGUAGACGGCCAUGCAAGUCUGAUGUGAAAACCCGGGGCUCAACCCCGGGACUGCAUUGGAAACUGUGCGGCUGGAGUGUCGGAGAGGCAAGUGGAAUUCCUAGUGUAGCGGUGAAAUGCGUAGAUAUUAGGAGGAACACCAGUGGCGAAGGCGGCCUGCUGGACAGAAACUGACGUUGAGGCCCGAAAGCGUGGGGAGCAAACAGGAUUAGAUACCCCCGUAU
rnacentral:rRNA from 1 species